rnacentral:rRNA from 1 species
UACGAAGGGGGCUAGCGUUGCUCGGAAUUACUGGGCGUAAAGCGCACGCAGGCGGUCUUUUAAGUCGGUGGUGAAAUCCUGGAGCUCAACUCCAGAACUGCCUUCGAUACUGGAAGACUUGAGUCCGGGAGAGGUGAGUGGAACUGCGAGUGUAGAGGUGAAAUUCGUAGAUAUUCGCAAGAACACCAGUGGCGAAGGCGGCUCACUGGCCCGGUACUGACGCUGAGGUGCGAAAGCGUGGGGAGCAAACAGG